GGAAAUUUGGACACAGACACAGGGAGAAUGCCAGGUAAAGAUUGGAGGUAUGUUGCCACAAGCCAAGCAAUGCCAGAUUGCCAGCAAACUACCAGAAGCUAGGAGGGAAGCAUGUAACAGAUUCUAUAGUGCCUCUUAGAGGGAACCAGCCCUGCCAACACCUUGCUUGAGAUUUUUGGCUUCUGGCCUGCAGAACUAUGAGACAAUAAAAUUCUCUUGCUCAAGUCACACAGUAUGUGAUAUUUGUUAUGGCAGCCCCAGAAAACUAAUACAUCUGAAUAAAUGAAUCAAUCUCUACCUUAUUCAGCAACUAUGACCUUGGCCAUGGGUCUAAGCUUUAGUACUGGGGCUUCUCUCUCUUUAAGGGCAGCUGAAUAUUUUAUGUUUUCCAAGUUUUAGAGGUUGGCAGAAACCCUUCCUUUCUUCUCCCCAACUCUCAUCUCACACUGAGUCACUCUUUCAGGGCUGGGCAUUUAUUUACUAAAAGUUCUAGAUAGCAAUAGAUUUUAUUGUCCAAAUGCAAACUUCUCUUUGCCAUCACCUCAUUUGGAAAUAGCCACCAUAUGACCACCGAUGCAGUGUUAUCCGUUUGGUGUUCCAGCCUCCAGAUGUCUUUUGGGGGAUAGGUUUGCAUCUGUUAGAGAUGAAGGAACUAAGUGGCAUCAUGACUUUUCCUCAUGGAAAUUACUUGGGGGCAAACAAAUUGUUCUGCCUUUCUUCUGAUGCAUUUUAAACUAAGUCAUCCUUUUGUUUCACCAACAGCAAAAACAAGCAUUUUUCAAAAACUGAAGUCAAUCAAAGGAGUAGUAGCAAUAAAGAGGAAGAUUGUUAUCAUGGGGUGAAGAUGAGGCAAUGCCAAGUAUAGUGCCGCGUACAGAGCCUGGAGCAAGGUAUUUCCAGCCUUGUUUUGCAACCGAUAAAAAUGAGACUCAGAGGUGAAUGGCUUCCCAGAG